GGGGAAUCUUGGACAAUGGGGGCAACCCUGAUCCAGCAAUGCCGCGUGUGGGAUGAAGGCCUUCGGGUUGUAAACCACUUUUGGCGGGGGCGAAAUGUCGAGUGCUAAUACCAUUCGGUGAUGACGGUACCCGCAGAAUAAGCACCGGCUAACUACGUGCCAGCAGCCGCGGUAAUACGUAGGGUGCAAGCGUUAAUCGGAAUUACUGGGCGUAAAGCGUGCGCAGGCGGUUAAGUAAGACAGAUGUGAAAUUCCCGGGCUCAACCUGGGAACUGCAUUUGUGACUGCUUGACUAGAGUGCGGCAGAGGGGAGUGGAAUUCCGCGUGUAGCAGUGAAAUGCGUAGAUAUGCGGAGGAACACCGAUGGCGAAGGCAACUCCCUGGGCCUGCACUGACGCUCAUGCACGAAAGCGUGGGGAGCAAAC
rnacentral:rRNA from 1 species